AUGGCCGGAGCACCGCUGCUUCUUCUUCUCGCGGCGGUGUGCCUCGCGUGCUUCGCCCCCGGCGCCAAUGCGGCGGGGAGGAAGAUGGUCGGCGUCUACGAGCUCAGCAAGGGAGAUUUCUCUGCCAAGGUCACCAACUGGGGCGCCACCGUCACCUCCGUCGUCUUUCCGGAUUCCAAAGGUGUGUCUUGGGAUUCCGCUAUGCUUCAUGUUCUUGGAUCUUGCGAUGCUUUUGUGCCCGCCAUCAGGAAGGAAUUCUGCCUGAGCUUUUCUUUUUCUCUGUCAGGGAAUUUGGGUGAUGUUGUCCUUGGCUAUGACACCAUCGGUGAAUAUGUUAACGGAUCCAGUUACUUUGGAGCGCUGGUUGGACGAGUAGCCAACAGGGUUGCCAAGGCGCGCUUCGUGCUCGAUGGAAAAGUCUACCACCUAUAUGCCAACGAUGGCAAGAACGCACUUCAUGGUGGCCAUAGGGGCUUCAGUAAGGUUAUAUGGACGGUGAAGGAAUAUGUCAGUGGUGGUGACUCCCCACACAUCACACUGUACUAUCAUAGCUUCGACGGAGAACAAGGGUUCCCCGGGGCCCUGGACGUGUACGUGACGUACGAGCUGUCGAGCCCGUACGUGCUGAGCGUGCGCAUGAACGCGACGGCGCUGGACAAGGCCACGCCGGUGAACCUGGCGCAGCACACGUACUGGAACCUGGGCGGGGAGGGCAGCGGCGACGUCCUGGGCAACACGGUCCAGCUCUUCGCGGCCCGGUACACGCCCGUGGACGCCACGCUCAUCCCGACGGGGCAGCUGGCGCCCGUGGCCGGCACGCCCUACGACCUCCGGGCGCCGACCGCCGUGCGCGAGCACCUCCGCCAGGUCGUCGGCGGCAGCAGCAACGGCAGCACCAUCUACGGCUACGACAUCAACUACGUGGUCGACGGCGACGCGCGCGCGCUGCGCAAGGUGGCGGCCGUCCGGGACGGCGCGUCCGGGCGCGCGCUGGAGCUGUGGGCGGACCAGCCCGGCGUGCAGUUCUACACCGGCAACUUCCUCCAGGACGUCAAGGGGAAGGGCGGCAGCGUGUACGGGCAGUACGGCGCGCUGUGCCUCGAGACGCAGGGGUUCCCCGACGCCGUCAACCACCCGGAGUUCCCGUCGCAGAUCGUGAGGCCUGGCCAGGCGGCGUACAAGCAUGACAUGGUGUUCAAGUUCUCCUUCUAG
rnacentral:rRNA from 1 species